rnacentral:lncRNA from 1 species
GAAAAUAUUUCAUAUCAUGAUAUUAUCAACACAAACGUUACAAAUGUAUGAGAUGAAACUUUCUUUAAAAAAAAAAAAAACAUAUACAAAAGCCACGAACGUCUAUUCUGAUACAAAAUAAAUGAAAGAGACAGCAGACUCUCCCUCAGAUAAUAAUACACACUAAUACGGAUGAUAUGUAUGUCGACCAUUACCAUUCUAACAACUCAUAUCCCACUCGCCAAGAAACUAUAGCACAAACCAAAACAAGAAGAAGGUAAUCAAUAAGAGUGAAAAAAAAAAAGAGAAAAGAUGUUGAAAGAGAGGACUAAACCACCAACCAAAACUGACUUCUCUUCCCUUUUGUCUAUUGCUCAUCUUUUCUGUACAAAACAAGAGGAACACCGGCUCUGCCAGGAGGCAGAUAUUAAUCAUACUAUUAUUUAAAAGUUGUAAUUAAGCAACAUAUGAAUGUAGUGGAAGUUUGACUAAUUAACGAGUCAAUUCCUUUUUUUUCUGACACAAACGAAAACAGAGAAACUAGCACAAGUUAAACGAUCACUAAGGCGGCCAUGGGGAGGACUCAAAUACUAUAUACAGAGUCACUAGGAGGAUGCUGUUGACAAGACGUUUUUAGUACUUUUUCCCCGUUUUAUCUCUCGCAAUUUCCUUUUGGCUCU